AGCCCAACAGCUAGCCCAACCCGCAAAACUCAACAAACCCUGUUAAUACCCCCAAACAUACUUAAACCCCACUAAACAAACCAUUUUUCCCCCUUAGUAUAGGCGAUAGAAAAGGAAAUCAUGGAGCGACAGAAAAAGUACCGCAAGGGAAAGCUGAAAGAGAAGUGAAAUAACUCAGUACAAGCCAAGCAAAGCAGAGAUUUGCACUCGUACCUUUUGCAUCAUGAUUUAGCCAGACACCUCAAGCAAAGAGCACUUUAGUUUGACACCCCGAAACUAAGUGAGCUACUCCAAGACAGCCUAUUGUAGGGCCAACCCGUCUCUGUGGCAAAAGAGUGGGAAGAGCUUUGAGUAGCGGUGACAGACCUAUCGAACUUAGUUAUAGCUGGUUGCCUGGGAACUGGAUAAGAGUUCAGCCUCCUGACUUCUCACCUCACCCCUGUCCAAACUUUAUUUCGACACGUCAGAGAAGCCUAGAGAGUUAGUCAAAGGGGGUACAGCCCCUUUGACACAAGACACAACUUUUUCGAUAGGGUAAAGAUCAAAACCUUAACACAGAACAAGAUGUCACGGUGGGCCUAAAAGCAGCCAUCCCUACAGAAAGCGUUAAAGCUCAGACACACUACGAUUCUACAAUUCCGACAAAUUAAUCUUAACCCAUCAGCCCUACCAGGCCUCUCCAUACCCCCUAUGGAGGAGAUAAUGCUAAUAUGAGUAAUAAGAAAGCCACGACUUUCUCCCCGCAUAAGUGUAAAUCGGAACGGACUCACCCCCGAACAUUAACGGCCCCAACCAAAGAGGGUAAUGCACAAUCACCUUCAACAACUAGAAAACCAUCCAACCUACCACCGUUAACCCUACACUGGUGUGCCCCAGAGGAAAGACCUAAAGAAAGAGAAGGAACUCGGCAAACACAAGCCUCGCCUGUUUACCAAAAACAUCGCCUCUUGCAAAACUAAUGAAUAAGAGGUCCUGCCUGCCCUGUGACUAUAUGUUUAACGGCCGCGGUAUCCUGACCGUGCGAAGGUAGCGCAAUCACUUGUCUCUUAAAUGGGGACCUGUAUGAAUGGCAUCACGAGGGUUUAACUGUCUCCUCUUUCAAGUCAAUGAAAUUGAUCCCCCCGUGCAGAAGCGGGGAUGAGCACAUAAGACGAGAAGACCCUAUGGAGCUUUAGACACUAAGGUAGACUAUAUCAACCGCCCCCAAAACCCGGGCCAAAACCAAAUACCCCCCUACCCUACGUCUUCGGUUGGGGCGACCACGGAGUAAUAAAAAACCCCCGCGUGGACCGGGAACACAAUUUUCCCACAGACAAGAGCUCCCGCUCUAACAAGCAGAAUUUCUGACUAAAAGUGAUCCAGCCAAUGCUGAUCAACGGACCAAGUUACCCUAGGGAUAACAGCGCAAUCUCCUUCUAGAGUCCAUAUCGACAAGGAGGUUUACGACCUCGAUGUUGGAUCAGGACAUCCUAAUGGUGCAGCCGCUAUUAAGGGUUCGUUUGUUCAACGACUAAAGUCCUACGUGAUCUGAGUUCAGACCGGAGUAAUCCAGGUCAGUUUCUAUCUAUGAAAUAACCUUUUCUAGUACGAAAGGACCGAGAAGAUGAGGCCCAUGACAAAGCCACGCCUCCCCCCCCACCUAAUGAAACCAACUCAAGUAGGUAACCGGGAAUACUUCUUCCCCCGAGAAAAUGGCAU
rnacentral:rRNA from 1 species